AUCAACCAAUGUACAACCAUUUCAAGAGUUCAAGUUAAAAAAAUCGUGUUGGAGCAUAUAUCAUCAUGAAGCUACCAAACACUUUUUUACUUGUGUUGGUUUUGUUUGCUCUCUUGAGUCACACUUAUGGAAAAAUCCAGUUUUGCCCUAAAGAGAUGACUUUUGAUGGGUCAUGUCCACUUGGAACUUCAGGAACAAAGCUGUUUUUCUGAGUUUCUUGCAAGACUGGGAGCAAGUGCCAUGCCAAUGCAUUGCAAUUGUAAAGAUCUUACUUCCCAACAUCAACGCGCAUGCACUUGUGACGUUGUUUGUGGCUCAUGAAUCAUGAUCACAUCCACAAUCUUAAUGCAUAUCAUGCCGGGAAAAUAAAAUGUGUAGAUGAUCUUAUAGCCAUCACACACACCCAAUGUUUCAGUUAUUUAUAGUUCAUGUUAUUUUCAAUUUAAUUAUAUCUGUUUCGCU